UACGGAGGGAGCUAGCGUUGUUCGGAUAUACUGGGCGUAAAGCGCACGUAGGCGGCGUCGUAAGUCAGGGGUGAAAUCCCGGAGCACAACUCCGGAACUGCCCUUGAAACUGCAAUGCUAGAAUCUUGGAGAGGCGAGUGGAAUUCCGAGUGUAGAGGUGAAAUUCGUAGAUAUUCGGAAGAACACCAGUGGCGAAGGCGACUCGCUGGACAAGUAUUGACGCUGAGGUGCGAAAGCGUGGGGAGCAAACAGG
rnacentral:rRNA from 1 species